CCAAAGUAGAUACCCCGGGUAGUUGACUCUGCAGGUUCUGCCCGACUGGUCCAAGGGAGCAUAGGGCUUUACCCUGGGAUGUACAGUCCCAUUCCAUAAUGCUUUUCUGUCUACAUCUAUGCAUUCUAAACCUCCUCAGGGUUUUUGAACUGUGGCCGAGGAAACAAGCCAUAUGGGAAACAAUA
rnacentral:snoRNA from 1 species